rnacentral:rRNA from 1 species
CUCCUACGGGAGGCAAGCAGUAGGGAAUCUUCCGCAAUGGACGAAAGUCUGACGGAGCAACGCCGCGUGAGUGAUGAAGGUUUUCGGAUCGUAAAACUCUGUUAUUAGGGAAGAACAAAUGUGUAAGUAACUGUGCACAUCUUGACGGUACCUAAUCAGAAAGCCACGGCUAACUACGUGCCAGCAGCCGCGGUAAUAC